UUGACCUCAAAUCAGGAGGACUACCCGCU
rnacentral:rRNA from 1 species